UCAAACUUGGUCAUUUAGAGGAAGUAAAAGUCGUAACAAGGUCUCCGUUGGUGAACCAGCGGAGGGAUCAUUAAAGAGUUGAAAAACUCCCUAAACCCAUUGUUUACCUACCUGAAAAGUUGCUUCGGCAGGCGGCCCCAGGGCGGGGUCAUCACCGAGAGGUGCCUGCCGGAGAACUAAACACUCUAUAAUAUAUAGUAUCUCUGAGCUUUAAAACAAAUAGUUAAAACUUUCAGCAACGGAUCUCUUGGUUCUGGCAUCGAUGAAGAACGCAGC
rnacentral:misc_RNA from 1 species